rnacentral:rRNA from 1 species
GGGAAUAUUGCACAAUGGAGGAAACUCUGAUGCAGCGACGCCGCGUGAGUGAAGAAGGUCUUCGGAUCGUAAAACUCUGUCCUUGGUGACGAAAAAAUGACGGUAGCCAAGGAGGAAGCCCCGGCUAACUACGUGCCAGCAGCCGCGGUAAUACGUAGGGGGCGAGAGUUGUCCGGAUUUACUGGGCGUAAAGGGUGAGUAGGCGGUAAUAUGUGUCAGAUGUAAAAGGCUAUGGCUUAACCAUAGUUGGCAUUUGAAACUGUAUUACUUGAGUGCAGGAGAGGUAAGUGGAAUUCCGAGUGUAGCGGUGAAAUGCGUAGAUAUUAGGAUGAACACCAGUGGCGAAGGCGACUUACUGGACUGUAACUGACGCUGAGUCACGAAAGCGUGGGUAGCAAACA